rnacentral:rRNA from 1 species
GACGAACGCUGGCGGCAUGCCUAACACAUGCAAGUCGAACGGAGAUUAUUUCGGUAAUCUUAGUGGCGCACGGGUGAGUAACGCGUGGGCAACCUGCCCUCUAGAUGGGGACAACAUCCCGAAAGGGGUGCUAAUACCGAAUGUGACAGCAAUCUCGCAUGAGGAUGCUGUGAAAGAUGGCCUCUAUUUAUAAGCUAUCGCUAGAGGAUGGGCCUGCGUCUGAUUAGCUAGUUGGUGGGGUAACGGCCUACCAAGGCGAUGAUCAGUAGCCGGUCUGAGAGGAUGAACGGCCACAUUGGGACUGAGACACGGCCCAGACUCCUACGGGAGGCAGCAGUGGGGAAUCUUCCGCAAUGGGCGAAAGCCUGACGGAGCAAUGCCGCGUGAGGGAUGAAGGAAGUCGUUCCGUAAAGCUCUUUUGUUUAUGACGAAUGUGCAGAUUGUGAACAAUGAUCUGUAAUGACGGUAGUAAACGAAUAAGCCACGGCUAACUACGUG